rnacentral:lncRNA from 1 species
UUUGAUUAAUUUCCAUCGUGUGGUCUAGCCUGGGGAUUGUUGGAUCUGACACGUUAAUUAAUGAGGUCAGAUCCAACGCUCCGUGUUUUUUCUGAUUUUAUUUAUUUAUAUAUUUUUAUUUUAAAAUACAUUUUCUUUAAAAACUCAUAGUAAUUUCAUUUUUCAUCCAAAAAUUCCAAAAUAAUUUCUAAAAUUUUCUUUUAUUUUUCUUCAUUUUAUUUUUAUUUUUUCACAUUUUAUUUUCUUGAUUUGCUACUUUUCGUGAAU